GAUGAAGAACGUAGCGAAAUGCGAUAAGUAGUGUGAAUUGCAGAAUUCAGUGAAUCAUCGAAUCUUUGAACGCACAUUGCGCCUCCUGGUAUUCCGGGAGGCAUGCCUGUUCGAGCGUCAUCAAAAACCUCAACCCAUGAUUUAUUGUGAGUUGGUUCUGCAUUGGACUCCUUGUGGGUCCUUUGCAAAAUCCAAUGGCGAAGAGCCACGCAACCAAAGCGUAGUAUAACUAUUUCGUUAUGGAAGCGUGGGUGCCUCUGCCGUAACCCCCAAUUUCUUAGUUUUUGACCUCGGAUCAGGUAGGGAUACCCGCUGAACUUAAGCAUAUCAAUAAGCGGAGGA
rnacentral:misc_RNA from 1 species